AAUGUCAUGGCUGGCCGCUAUUAACGACCAGCUUUUCUUCCCUUCUGAAAGUGCUUUACAACCCUAGGGCCUUCUUCACACACGCGGCAUGGCUGCGUCAGGGUUUCCCCCAUUGCGCAAUAUUCCC
rnacentral:rRNA from 1 species